rnacentral:rRNA from 1 species
CAAUAGCGUAUAUUAAAGUUGUUGCAGUUAAAAAGCUCGUAGUUGGAUUUCUGGUCGGAAGCUCCUGUCCUCUGAUGAGCGUACAAGUGCGUCCUACCAUCCUUCUGUUAACCUUUAAGGCUUUCGCGGCUUUCUAGGGGCUCAGAUAUUUUACCUUGAGAAAAUUAGAGUGUUUCAGGCAGGCUAGCGCCGGAAUACAUUAGCACGGAAUAAUGGAAUAGGACUUUUGCCUCUUCUGUUGGUCAUGAGGCUCGAGUAAUGAUUAAUAGGGAUAGUUGGGGGCAUUAGUACUUAACUGUCAGAGGUGAAAUUCUCGGAUUUGUUAAAGACUAACUUAUGCGAAAGCAUUUGCCAAGGAUGUUUUCAUUAA